GUACGGCGAGUGAGCGGCAAAAGCUCAAAUUUGAAAUCUGGUACCUUCGGUGCCCGAGUUGUAAUUUGGAGAGGGCAACUUUGGGGCCGUUCCUUGUCUAUGUUCCUUGGAACAGGACGUCAUAGAGGGUGAGAAUCCCGUGUGGCGAGGAGUGCGGUUCUUUGUAAAGUGCCUUCGAAGAGUCGAGUUGUUUGGGAAUGCAGCUCUAAGUGGGUGGUAAAUUCCAUCUAAAGCUAAAUAUUGGCGAGAGACCGAUAGCGAACAAGUACAGUGAUGGAAAGAUGAAAAGAACUUUGAAAAGAGAGUGAAAAAGUACGUGAAAUUGUUGAAAGGGAAGGGCAUUUGAUCAGACAUGGUGUUUUGUGCCCUCUGCUCCUUGUGGGUAGGGGAAUCUCGCAUUUCACUGGGCCAGCAUCAGUUUUGGUGGCAGGAUAAAUCCAUAGGAAUGUAGCUUGCCUCGGUAAGUAUUAUAGCCUGUGGGAAUACUGCCAGCUGGGACUGAGGACUGCGACGUAAGUCAAGGAUGCUGGCAUAAUGGUUAUAUGCCGCCCGUCUUGAA
rnacentral:rRNA from 1 species